AUUGAACGCUGGCGGCAGGCUUAACACAUGCAAGUCGAACGAGCGGUGGACGGGUGAGUAAUGUUGUGGGAUCUGCCCGAUAGAGGGGGGUAACUACUGGAAGCGGUGUCGAAUACCGCCUACUGUCGGUUGAACCCAUAUGGGAUUAGCUAGUAGGUAGGGUAAUGGCUUACCUAGGCGACGAUCCGUAGCGGGUCUGAGAGGAUGAUCAGCCACACGGGGACUGAGACACGGCCCAGACUCCUACGGGAGGCAGCAGUGGGGAAUAUUGCACAAUGGGGGCAAGCCUGAUGCAGCCAUGCCGCGUGUAUGAAGAAGGCCCUAGGGUUGUAAAGUAUUUUCAGUGGGGAGGCGUUACCGACAGAAGAAGCACCGGCUAACUCCGUGCCAGCAGCCGCGGUAAUUC
rnacentral:rRNA from 1 species